rnacentral:rRNA from 1 species
AGCAGUCGCCACGGUAACACGUAGGGUGCAAGCGUUAAUCGGAAUUACUGGGCGUAAAGCGUGCGCAGGCGGUUAUAUAAGACAGAUGUGAAAUCCCCGGGCUCAACCUGGGAACUGCAUUUGUGACUGUAUAGCUAGAGUACGGCAGAGGGGGAUGGAAUUCCGCGUGUAGCAGUGAAAUGCGUAGAUAUGCGGAGGAACACCGAUGGCGAAGGCAAUCCCCUGGGCCUGUACUGACGCUCAUGCACGAAAGCGUGGGGAGCAAACAGGAUUAGAUACCCCAGUAGUCCCUGUCUCUUAUAC